CGGUUGAUCCUGCCGGACCCUACCGCUAUCGGGGUGGGACUAAAACAUGCAAGUCGAGCGUCUCCCAAUUGUGGAGGCGCGGCAAAAGGCUCGGGAAAACGUGGCCCCCCCAACCUUGGGACGGGGAUAACCCCGGGAGACUGGGGCAAUCCCCGAUAAGAGAAGACACCUGGAAUGGGUCUUCUCUCAAAAGGCGCCUAGACCAUGCUUUUAGGCGCUGCCCAAGGACGGGGCCGCGGCCGAUCAGGUUGUUGGUAGGGCAACGGCCUACCAAGCCUAUAACCGGUACGGGCCGUGAGAGCGGGAGCCCGGAGAUGGGCACUGAGACAAGGGCCCAGGCCCUACGGGGCGCAGCAGUUGCGAAAACUCCGCAAUGCACGAAAGUGUGACGGGGCUACCCCGAGUGCCGUCCGCUGAGGGCGGCUUUUCCCUGGUGUAAGGAGCCGGGGGAAUAAGGAGAGGGCAAGUCUGGUGUCAGCCGCCGCGGUAAUACCAGCUCUCCGAGUGGUAGGGACGAUUAUUGGGCUUAAAGCGUCCGUAGCCGGCCUAGCAAGUCUUCCGUUAAAUCCAACGAUUCAAUCGUUGGACUGCGGGAGAUACUGUUAGGCUAGGGGGCGGGAGAGGCCGACGGUAUUCUCGGGGUAGGGGUAAAAUCCUAUAAUCCCGGGAAUACCACCAUUGGCGAAGGCAGUCGGCUAGCACGCGCCCGACGGUGAGGGACGAAAGCUGGGGGAGCGAACCGGAUUAGAUACCCGGGUAGUCCCAGCUGUAAACGAUGCGGGCUAGGUGUUGGAGCGGCUACGGGCCGCUUCAGUGCCGCAGGGAAACCAUUAAGCCCGCCGCCUGGGGAGUACGGCCGCAAGGCUGAAACUUAAAGGAAUUGGCGGGGGAGCAC
rnacentral:rRNA from 1 species